rnacentral:tRNA from 1 species
GCCCAGGUGGCUCAGUGGUUUAGCACCUGCCUUUGGCCCAGGGUGUGAUCCUGGAGUCCUGGGAUCGAGUCCCACCUCGGGCU